AGAUGGAGAUGGGAACACCUGAAGCAGCAAAGAAGAGGAUCCUCCCAACUUGGAUGACAAAGAGGGCACUUGAGCCAGCACAACGACUGGCAGAAGUGAAGCCAAGGAGAAGGAAAAAAGCAGCUUUGAUGAGGAGUGCAUGGACAAGGAAGUGGCAAUCGCUUUGUCAGAAGAUGAAGCCCAAGGCUCUCAGCUAGUGCUGAAAGAUCCUCAGCAGCAUCCAAUGAGUGACGAUACUGACAGCAAAGCCAAAAUUGCUAACACAGCAUCCAAACCUCUAAACAAUCUGGGGACUUUAGUUUGCAGUGAGAAAAUAAAAUUGGAUGACAAUGACGACGAUGUAUUAAAAUAUGUCCGGGAAA